GACGAACGCUGGCGGCGUGCCUAAUACAUGCAAGUCGAACGCUUCUUUCCUCCCGAGUGCUUGCACUCAAUUGGAAAGAGGAGUGGCGGACGGGUGAGUAACACGUGGGUAACCUACCCAUCAGAGGGGGAUAACACUUGGAAACAGGUGCUAAUACCGCAUAACAGUUUAUGCCGCAUGGCAUAAGAGUGAAAGGCGCUUUCGGGUGUCGUUGAUGGAUGGACCCGCGGUGCAUUAGCUAGUUGGUGAGGUAACGGCUCACCAAGGCCACGAUGCAUAGCCGACCUGAGAGGGUGAUCGGCCACACUGGGACUGCGACACGGCCCAGACUCCUACGGGAGGCAGCAGUAGGGAAUCUUCGGCAAUGGACGAAAGUCUGACCGAGCAACGCCGCGUGAGUGAAGAAGGUUUUCGGAUCGUAAAACUCUGUUGUUAGAGAAGAACAAGGACGUUAGUAACUGAACGUCCCCUGACGGUAUCUAACCAGAAAGCCACGGCUAACUACGUG
rnacentral:rRNA from 1 species